AAGUCGUAACAAGGUUUCCGUAGGUGAACCUGCGGAAGGAUCAUUACAGUGUUCCCUGCCCUCACGGGUAGAAACGCCCACCCUUGUAUAAUAUAUCUUGUUGCUUUGGCAGGCCGCCUUCGGGCAUCGGCCUCGGCUGAUUCGCGCCUGCCAGAGGACCCCAAACUCUGAAUGUUAGUGUCGUCUGAGUACUAUAUAAUAGUUAAAA
rnacentral:misc_RNA from 1 species